rnacentral:rRNA from 1 species
GAUCCUACGGGACGCAGCAGUCGGGAAUAUUGCGCAAUGGAGGAAACUCUGACGCAGUGACGCCGCGUAUAGGAAGAAGGUUUUCGGAUUGUAAACUAUUGUCGUUAGGGAGGAUAAAAGACUGUACCUAAGGAGGAAGCCCCGGCUAACUAUGUGCCAGCAGCCGCGGUAAUACAUAGGGAGCAAGCGUUAUCCGGAAUUAUUGGGUGUAAAGGGUGCGUAGACGGGAAUACAAGUUGGUUGUGAAAUCCCUUGGCUUAACUGAGGAACUGCAACCAAAACUAUAUUUCUUGAGUACUGGAGAG